ensembl:lncRNA
UGCUCUGUCACAACAGUGUGCAGACACAGCAUGUGGAUGGUACAUUUGUCUCAUUGAGCGUCCUGAACACAGCACCAGAAAUCCAUUAAUUGCGUAAUUAAAUAGAUGAUUGAAAAAUGGUGUAUUGCACACGUUCAUGCAAACGCUUUAAAUGAGGUCAACUGAAGCAUGUUAACAGUUUUUGUUAACAGCAGAGAAUGGCGUUGGCCUUUGUUCUCACGUCUUGUGGUUACAAAUGACUUUGGUUCAAUCAGCUCCACCGUCCUGAAGAGAUUUACAAUCGGAAAUAGAUCAACACCGUCUCCUCUUUGGGUUUGUGUCCCCUGCUGUGGCAGUCUUAGGCCCGCCCCCCAAUUAUCUUAUUGGUUGAGGCGGGGGGGGUCGACCGCCGUCCCAAGUCAACACUGAUCAACAUCGCCCCCCCCGAUCGUGAACCAUGAUGCGUCUGCAUGUUUAUUCAGAGCCGGCAAAACAGCUCUGGCAGUAAUUAAUAAGUUAUGGUAAUUUCACAUUGUUUUGCUUUGUAAGGCAUUUUGGGAGUAAAACAUGAGCCGCUGAAUUAAGAUGUAUUUAUUUGGAAAGCGGGCUGUGAUGCACAAGAUUAAUGAGGCGGAAAGUGUCUGCACAGAAGGAAUAUUCUAUUGAGAGGACUUUUUAAUCAGACACUUCCCGCGUUGAAUAGAAUGUCUCUGGACCGCCGAUGCCCAAUGUGUCCUACGUGCGGCAGAUGGAUCUGACGCCCUCGGCGUUUUCCAGGAGUUUUCCCGGCCGGCGAGGGACGGUGGGAGGACGGUGACGUCAGCGCGCGCCCUCGAGCGGACGGGGACGAGGUCCGAAAGGCAGCGAGGGGCCAGGCCGAUGGAGCCAUCAAUGUCGUCCCCGUCCUCGACGGGUCCCACGAGCUCUGCAGCAAAUUUACAGAGAAAACCGCGCUGUUGCAUCAUCGCACGGAGCUGGAGUUAAGAGACACAGGAUUGGAUUUAUGUAUCACACUGCUUGAGGUUGUAGUCUUUGAAUAUUUGUCAAUAAAACCCUCGCAGAUGAAGAGGCAGCACGCUUGUGUAGCAGUCAAGUGCUUCUCCAGGGGUUUUCUUCUCCCUAAAUCUGAAGAUUAAAAACAUGGUUGCCACAACAGAGCGCUGCGCGG